UACAGGGGGUGCAAACGUUGCUCGGAAUUAUUGGGCGUAAAGCGCGCGUAGGCGGCCGCUUAAGUCGGAUGUGAAAGCCCCUGGCUCAACUGGGGAAGUGCACCCGAAACUGAGUGGCUUGAGUACUAAAGAGGGUCGCGGAAUUCCCGGUGUAGAGGUGAAAUUCGUAGAUAUCGGGAGGAACACCGGUGGCGAAGGCGGCGACCUGGGUAGAUACGUGACGCUGAGGAGCGAAAGCAUGGGGAGCGAACAGGA
rnacentral:rRNA from 1 species